rnacentral:rRNA from 1 species
UACGAACUGUGCGAACGUUAUUCGGAAUCACUGGGCUUACAGGGUGCGUAGGCGGCUAUUCAGGUCAGGUGUGAAAGCCCCCGGCUCAACCGGGGAACUGCGCUUGAAACCGAGUGGCUCGAGUCAGCUAGAGGUACACGGAACUUCCAGUGGAGCGGUGAAAUGUGUUGAUAUUGGAAGGAACACCGGAGGCGAAAGCGGCCAUCUGGACCAGUACUGACGCUGAGGCACGGAAGCGUGGGGAGCAAACAGG